rnacentral:rRNA from 1 species
CCCUUAGAUGUUCUGGGCCGCACGCGCGCUACACUGACGAAUGCAACGAGCUUAUAACCUUGGCCGAAAGGUCUGGGUAAUCUCCAAAUUUCGUCGUGAUGGGGAUAGAUUAUUGCAAUUAUUAAUCUUCAACGAGGAAUGCCUAGUAAGCGCAAGUCAUCAGCUUGCAUUGAUUACGUCCCUGCCCUUUGUACACACCGCCCGUCGCACCUACCGAUUGAAUGGUCCGGUGAAUCUUUAGGACUGUGGCUGAGGCCUUGCCUUGUGCGGGUCUGGCCGUGGGAAUUUAGUUAAACCUUACCAUUUAGAGGAAGGUGAAGUCGUAACA